GUUCACUGUCUUAUAUAAGACAAUGAACUUUUAACAUAAUUGCCUAUAGAGUAAAUUGGUGAAUUUCACCCUUCAGUGUUUAUGGUAGUAUGUACCUGGUGGCCCGUUUAGUGAAUUGUUUAAAGGAACUUUUAACCAUCAGGGGUUAUCCUAGAUUCCCCAAGCCUAAGAUUCAGCUCUAUUGUAUUUCAUUGAAUGCCCUAAAUUUUCUAAGACACUUCAUAAAAAAGUUUCCAGACCACGUGAAUGGGAAAUGCUUAUAUGAUCAUGUCUAGCAUUGUCCUAGGCUUGCUUACUGGUAAAUUCAGAAUCAUUUUUCAUAAUGAAAUGUAGUUUGCUUCUGAAGCCUUUGG
rnacentral:lncRNA from 1 species